rnacentral:Y_RNA from 1 species
GGCUGGUCCGAAGGUAGUGAGUUAUCUCACUUGAUUGUUCACAAUCAGAGAUUGAACUCCUUGUUCUACUACUUUCCCACCUCCUCACUAUUGCACUUGACUAGUCUUAA